AUUGAACGCUGGCGGCAUGCUUUACACAUGCAAGUCGAACGGCAGCGCGGGCUUCGGCCUGGCGGCGAGUGGCGAACGGGUGAGUAAUACAUCGGAACGUGCCCAGUAGUGGGGGAUAGCUCGGCGAAAGCCGGAUUAAUACCGCAUACGACCUGAGGGUGAAAGCGGGGGAUCUUCGGACCUCGCGCUAUUGGAGCGGCCGAUGGCAGAUUAGCUAGUUGGUGGGGUAAAGGCCUACUAAGGCGACGAUCUGUAGCUGGUCUGAGAGGACGACCAGCCACACUGGGACUGAGACACGGCCCAGACUCCUACGGGAGGCAGCAGUGGGGAAUUUUGGACAAUGGGCGAAAGCCUGAUCCAGCAAUGCCGCGUGUGUGAUGAAGGCCUUCGGGUUGUAAAGCACUUUUGGCGGGAACGAAAAGGACUGUGCCAAUACCACGGUUCGAUGACGGUACCCGCAGAAUAAGCACCGGCUAACUACGUG
rnacentral:rRNA from 1 species